AGCUGUCCCCGGGCUGCCUGGGAGUCACUGGGGAGUCCUAGCCCGCCCUUGGGCCUAGGGCUCCCUGAUGCGGCCUCCACUCUUCGCAGGGCCAGGGGGCGAGGAAGGAGGAGGGAGGGAAGAGGGAAGCUGGGGAGUGGGAGAGCGUCCUCCACGACCGCUUGGGUCCUCCGCGGGGCAGCCUCGGGGAGGGUGGCUGCAGGGCCCGGAGUCGCCUGGAUCGCAGCGCCAUCUCGUGGCUGCUGGCAGGUCUGCCUUGGGCCCUCUUGGCACAAGGCAAGGAAACAGGAGCUCUUCCCAUCAGUGACAGCCCAGGAGAAUGCUCCAGUGUCACCAGUGACUCCUGCUCCCACAUCUGCCUACAGGAAGCCCUCUUGGAACAAAAGCAUCUCACUUCUGGGAGGCAUCAAGUCAAGGGAGAAGCAGUGAUGUUUUAGUAUCCAGAAAGUGGAAAUAACCCAAAUGCCCAUCAACAGCAGAAUGAAAUUGUACUAUAUUCACACCAUGGAAUAUUGUAUAGCAAAGAGAAUGAAUGAACUAUUAACAGAAAAGACAUGGACAAAUCUCAUAAACAUGAUGCUGAAAGAAACCACAGUCAAAAAAGUACAUUAUUUUGUGAUUCCAUUUAUAUAUAGUGGGAAAAGGAAGCAACAUUAAUUUAUGGUGUUAGAAGUUAGGAUAGUGGUUACCCUUAGGGGUAGUGACUGAAAGAGAACAUGAGAGGGGUAUUGGGGGUACCGUGAUGUUUUGGUUCUUCAUCUGGGUGCUAGUUGCAUGGGGUUGCUCACUUUAUGAAAUACCAUUGAGUGGUAUGCUUUUGACCUGUGCACUGCUCUGCAUGUGUGAUAUACUUCAAAAUGAAACAUUAAGAUACAGGAGGAAGGACAUAGUCUCAAAGCAAAGGACAGUUUUUUUGUUGUUGUUUGUUUGUUUGUUUUAUUUUGUUUUGAGACAGAGUCUUGCUCUGUUGCCCAGGCUGGAGUGCAGUGGCGGGAUCUCGGCUCACUGCAACCUCUGCCUCCCAAAUUCAAGCAAUUCUCCUGCCUCAGCCUCCCGAGUAGCUGGGAUUACAGGCGUGCACCACCAGACCGGCUAAUUUUUGUAUUUUCAGUAGAGACAGGGUUUCACCAUGUUGGCCAGGCUGGUCUUGAACUCCUGACCUCAGGUGAUCUGCCUGCCUCAGCCUCCCAAAGUUCUGGGAUUACAGAUGUGAGCCACCAUGCCCAGCCAGAACAAGUCUUUAAAAACUAAAUUUAACUUUAUGAACAGUUUUACGAAAAAUGUACUAUAUUUGUCCACAUUUUCCUCAUCUCUCCUUGAAGCAGUGUAAAUUGCUUUAAGACAGGGUUCUGGGGCUAUGCCAAUGUCAGUGGGAAAAGAAAACAGGGGUGACAAGACUGGCAUCAACUGAUGCUGUGAGGAACAGGCCAGCUCUUUAAGGAAGGUGCCUCUCAUCUGCUCCUGGCUUCUGUGCUCAUAGUUCACACUCACGGUGUUGUGUGCAUGUCUAGGAAGAUGCUUCCCAACCUUUUGCAGACCAUGGCAUACGCAGAAAAUGACAACAUCGGAAUGGCACACUGGCAUACCAGUUGGGGAUCCUUGCAGUCAAUGCUGACUGGACUCAUCCUUCAGCCGCCCCCAAGAAGAGAGAGAUCAAUACCUUGGCACAUCUGUGGGAAAGCUCCCAUUAGAGAGUGUGGGGAAGACACAGGCCUCCACAACACAUUUCAGGUUCUCUAAACUGGCAAAGGGGAAGAGUCUGGGCUUCCUUUGCCCUUUUGUUCUCAAAGAGCCCAGCUGUGCACACCCCUCACCCCUGCACUAUAGCUCCCAUUUGGGUAGUGAAAAAUCACAGGACUCAGGGGAGUUAUGCAGCAUUCGGGAAUGGAGACCUGGAAAGCCACACACUCCUCCUUGCUUUCCUGUGAGCCUCUCUUCUUGCUGUCCCCUUUACAACCAACAGUCCCUGCAGGGGGAAGACACUCUGCUUUAGUCAGUUCCACCUCCCUUCCAGAUCUCAUCCUCCUUUCAGCCUAAUUUUCCUCACACUGUCAUGCUCCUUCCCACUGCUCGCCCCCCACCCCCUACUCUCCUCCAGCACAUCACACAUUGCGCCUGGGCACACUGAGCUUGUCUGCCAUCUAUGAAGAGGCCCAUGUCACCCAAGCCCUUCUCUUUCCCUGUCAUGCCAUAGCCUCUUCCAGGAGCGCUCAGCCUGCUGUUUCUGCUCAGACCUCCCCUCCUCUGCAAAGCCUCCUUCUGCGUGCUGCCCGAGAGCCAUCCCCCACUUGGGUUUGUGUUACUGCUGUGUAUGGCAGCAUCUUCACUGUGCCUGAUUUCCCGUCUUGGCCCAUCGUAGGUGCUCAACAAUUGUUUCUCAAAUGACCAGCGCCUGCAGAGGGACCCUGACAUGAACUCCACCCCACCCCGACUCUUGGCAGUUACUCACUGUCCCCUUGAGUCGGGAUCCCAGCCCCUCAGGGGACCUGUCUUGCAGCCAUUCCACGCUCUGUCACCCCACUGCCAGGAGACUAGAGCCACACUGCCUGGAUGACGCUCAUCUUUACCAGCUCGCAGCUCUGCCAGCUGCCUGCUCAGGGGUGGCCGCCAGCUGAGGGAUUGAGCUGAUUAUAGGUGAAUCAGCACCAGGCUGAUUGUGGUGUGAAAAAGGGGAAGGGUGACUGUGUCUUAGCCUCAAUCCUGGCUCCCCUCCUUCCAGCCCUGACCUGCAGUAACAGCACAGGGCCACCAGAGGCUCUAUUGGGCGACUCAUGCCCCGCGGAGAAAGGCCCAGUAGGAGAGCAUCUGACCCAGUUCCCAGCAGAUGAGAAAGGAAGAAGAGUUCAGGAGGCUUCUACUCUCAGAGGUCUCCAGCACUGAAACCCCGCAGCCGCACCUGGCUGCCUUAUCCUUGUGUUUUGCCCCUCAUGGGUCUAGAAGCUGUUGUGUUACACCUUAACAUCUUCCUCCUUGCUUGCCAUGAGCCCCUCUGCUUGCAGCCCCCUUUACAGAACAACAGUCAUGGUAGAGGGAAGAUGUCUCCACUUUUGUCAGUUCUGCCUCCUUUAGGAGAGUGUCAGGCCUAACCCAUGUGUGCUCUGUCUUUCAGGGCAUGGAAAAGACUAUUGUCCUGUUUCGUCUUUUCAACACCUCUUGACUCUCUCCCCCUGGUUUCCUAACAGCCAGCUAGGUUCAGGGCCUCCCAUCUCUGGCCAGGAUUAGUGCAAUGGCUUUCUGAAGGGUCCCAGGCUCCAGGGAGCCCCUUGCCCAUCAAGUCUCUACCCUGGAGCCAGACAGCCCUUACUUCCAUCAGACAUCAGCCUCCAGUGGCUCCGAAAGGCCAGGCAUCCACACAGCACCCCACGGCCCCAAGAACUGGCUGCUUGAUUUUCCUGCCCUGUGUCCCUCCUCUCCUUGGCCCUCUACCCAGCAAUCACCCCAAAACACUGUGAUGUUUCAAGCCUUUGUACUUUGCACACAUUCUUCUCCAUGGCCUAAUUCCCUCUCUCCACCCCUCACUCCACACCUCCUCCACCUUUACCCUUUCUCCCCAUUCUUUCUUCACCGGGCACAGCCCUACUUAUCCUUCAAAACUGCCACUUCCUCUGCGAAGCCUUUCCUGACCCGUGUCCCAGAAUCCCUCCUCUGAACAAAUCCUGUUCCCUAAACAUGCAUCUCUCAUUGUAUCUGUCACUCAAGGGUUGCAAUAAUUACACACACGCCUGUCCUUUGUCCUCCACUGGCUCUGUACCUCCAUGUGGGACCCAUGGCCAGCACACAUUGGUGGUGCCCGAAAGCUGUUGCACUGGAGUUGUUCCUUCUGCCCCAUCACCUCCCACCUUGAACAAGUCCUUUAGAUGACCUGAACUCCAGUUUGUUGAUCUGCAAAAUGGAGAGAUGUGAGAAUCAGAAGAGAACACGUAAUGAAAGGGUGUUAUAAACUGCUAAGGGCUGUACAAAUGUUUGUAUUGCAUUUUUGUCUUCCAGACUAGUGUUUACCUACACUUGCCUGUGUGGAAAUCAGAAGAUUAAAGGAAUGCGAUGUGAUCUUUUUGUAAUUUCCCCACUUGGGUCAAGGGAAAAGCUGGUCAAGAGUAAACCAUUAAUUCAUCCCCCUGCAGGCCCCCCAAUCUUCCCUAGAAUUCUGGGUUAAUGAUUCUGAGGUUGUUUUCCUCACAGAGCCAAUUCAUAUCUAAUCUUUGGCAUGUUCCCCCCUUUAUUAAGAAUAACUUGACUCACCCCAUUAAUUCCUCAUCCUGGGGUCACGAGCCUUGUUUUGCAGAAGGAAAUGGUGGCUGUGUGUAUGUCUUGGGCCUUCUUUCUUUCUCAAACCCCUUUCUUUCAUGGAUUCAUGCCUACAAUUCCCUCUGUGGACAGAAGAGACCUCUCCUUACCUGCAUAAUGAAAUGUGUGACUUUUCUCAAAAGUAGCUUUAGGAAUUAACUGUGGAGGUCCAAGUAGCAAGGAUGCUGUGACCUAACUCGUUACCCCCUCACGUGUGGUUUGGAAUCCCAGCAGAAAAAAUUUCCUGAAGAUCUGGUACGGAGAAACCAUUCUGGGCCUGGCUUUUAAAUGUUUUAUUAGCAGCUGGGCGAGGACUGGGCUGCAAAGAGAUGCAGCCCCCGUCAGAAGCGAUCCCUGUUGGGGAGCAAGGCCUGGAAUUCCAGGAGGGAGGUCUGUUUAUAGCUGAGGCAGAGGCUGGGGAGCGAAGCCUGGGAGCCAGACAUGGCUUAAGGGUGGUCUGGACACUCUUGAGAUAAGGCCAACUAAGGACUAUGAGCUCAUUGAAGUUCCAAAGCCAACUCACAGCAGCUCACCACCAGACAUGUCCCCUGCCCCCACAUUCCCUCCUCUCAAUCCAGGAAUUUUGGUGCUCAUCUCUAUAAAGUUUUAGACCAUGGUGGUAGGAACCUGGUAAGUCUCAGGUUCUUGCAUUGCCCGAUUCUCCUUGGAUUUGCUGGGUUUGCCUCCUUCCCAUGUCUCAGACAGGGCUUUGCAUAAAGAAGUGGGCUGGUAGAUCUGCAAAGGUCCCUCUGUGUGACUGGAGCAAGUUACCCUCUUGAGCCUCAGUGUCCUCUUCUGUAAAAUAGGGAUAUCAUUCUUUCUUUCCCAAGGCUUUUGGUAAUAAUGUCAUUCUCAUGUGAUUCUUAACAAAAUGGGCCUUUCAGACUUAGAUCACUUUUGUGCAUGCAUAAAAAUGAAAGCAUUGAGGAGAAGGAAUUGGUGAAUAUAUGUCUGGAGCAAUAACUUCAUCAGAACUGCCACGGUGGUUGUAGGACCAUUCUGAUUCCAGAGGUAUUAAAAUGCAAAACACAAUGUUGAAAUGCAAAACCCAACAAAAUAAUAAACAGCCUUGUACCUACCGCCUCCCUUAAGAACUAAAACAAUUCCCAACACCACUGAAAGACUGUGUUCACCUCCUUGAUCCAAUCUCUUGCCUUUCCACCCCAGAGAAAACCACUGUCCUGAAUUUUUUCCCACUCCCUUGGUUUUGUUUUACCAAACAUGUAUCCAAUAUGUAACAUAUUAUUUGUAUUUGAUCUUGUUUUUGAAUUGUCCUGUAGGUAGAAUUAUAUCUUAUUCUGCAAUUUGCUUUUUAAAGUUUUUGAAAGAGCAAAACUUAUCUAUGCUAAUACGCUAAUGUGUGUAGCUGCCAUUUAUUUGUCACUGCAUAUACCCCUCUCAAUUCUGUUGAUGGAAAUUUAGGCAGUUUCCAGUAUUAUUUUGCUACAAACAUUCUCAUGGCUGUCUCCUGCAACAUGUGUGUUUCUUGGGAGUAUAC
rnacentral:lncRNA from 1 species